rnacentral:rRNA from 1 species
UGGGGAAUCUUGGACAAUGGGGGCAACCCUGACCCAGCAACGCCGCGUGAGGGAUGAAGGCCUUCGGGUCGUAAACCUCUGUCGGGAGGGAAGAAAGGUCAACGUUCGAACAGGACGAGGGCUUGACGGUACCUCCAAAGGACGCGCCGGCUAACUCCGUGCCAGCAGCCGCGGUAAUACGGAGGGCGCGAGCGUUGUUCGGAAUCAUUGGGCGUAAAGCGCGUGUAGGCGGCUUGGCAAGUCGGAUGUGAAAGCCCGGGGCCCAACCCCGGAACUGCAUUCGAAACUGCCUCGCUCGAGUCCCGGAGAGGAAGGCGGAAUUCCCGGUGUAGGGGUGAAAUCCGUAGAUAUCGGGAGGAACACCAGCGGCGAAGGCGGCCUUCCGGACGGUGACUGACGCUGAGACGCGAAAGCGUGGGGAGCAAACAGGAUUAGAUACCCGCGUAGUCC